CUUUGAUGGUGUAAACGUCCUGCGGCAGCUCAGACUUCCUUCUCAUCAGGACUUUGUCCUUCAGUUUUCUUCAGCAGUUGAAUAUCUUCUGCUGUUGGAGUUUCUGUUUCCAUCGAGUACACAGCUACAGAGCUGUCACUGUACAACAGGACUCACCUCAUCUUGUGGGUGGAGUCCAGGGCGGAGGGGGUGGAGCUUAUUUUUCUGCAAGGACACAUGACAUUAGACAGGAUGUCAAGUGAGACCGAGACACACAGGUGAGGACACAGAGUGGCUCUUGGAGUUCUUGUACAGAGCAGGAAACAUGAUCGGCAGAAUCUUGGCCGCG